UGUGGUGCAUUUGCAGGUGGAGUGCGCUGAGGCGUUCGGUGCAGCGGCAUGAACUCGGCUCUGAGGCCAGCCCAGCAAUGGGUCUGGAACCCGUGCCGUGGGGAGUGCUGUUUGCGCUGGAUGUGCGGUGGGCAAUGGUCACGGGCCCGUGUGGGUGCCGAGCUGGCGGUGGGUGGCGGUCGCAUGCGACACGUGCCGGCAGUCAGUUCGGUCCUGCUCGAGCUCUCACAUGCUCGUCCUCGGUGUAAAAGCCGGUCAUCUGUCCGACCCGUCUUGAAACACGGACCAAGGAGUUUAGCGUGUGCGCGAGUCAUUGGGCGUUGAAAACCCAAAGGCGCAAUGAAAGUGAAGGCAUCCCUUGUGGAGCUGAUGUGUGAUCCUGGCCSCCACGGUGAGCCGGGCGCAACAUGGUCCCGUCCUGAUCGCUUGCGAUGGGGCGGAGACAGAGCGUACGCGCUGAGACCCGAAAGAUGGUGAACUAUUCCUG
rnacentral:rRNA from 1 species